rnacentral:rRNA from 1 species
GACAGAGGAUGCAAGCGUUAUCCGGAAUGAUUGGGCGUAAAGCGUCUGUAGGUGGUUUAAAAAGUCCACUGUUAAAAAUUGAAGCUUAACUUCAAAGAUGCCGUGGAAACUUUUAAACUUGAGUAUGGUAGGGGUAGAGGGAAUUUCCAGUGGAGCGGUGAAAUGCGUAGAUAUUGGAAAGACCACCAAUGGCGAAGGCACUCUACUGGGCCAUUACUGACACUGAGAGACGAAAGCUAGGGGAGCAAAUGGG